ACUCAUUUAUAUAAAUUUAUCUAGUUAGAGGAAUUUUUUUCUUCGAUAAAUUGCAACUAUUUAGGUAAAAUAUAAAAAAAACUAAAUAUUUAUGUAGAUAAGUCUUAACAUUGGGGACUACCUGCAAUUGGACAGAAAGAAGUAGUUCUUUUUUUGGAUGACCUUCAUACAUGAAUAUUUACUGAAGGUCAAUAAGGUCAGCCAAAUGCCAAACCAUGUUCGAGAAUUUGUAUUUAAAGUUUCCAAACUAAAAUGAAUAUCAACACACUAAUUAAACAACUAUGUAAGAGUUAAAUAGCUGGCUCAGUGUUAUGUACAGGCUGCAAAUUGUUAGUUAACCUUGAACUACACCAAUAGUUUUCUUUAAAAUUGAUAAUAAUUAUUUUAAGAUUUCAAAUUUCAAAUUACGUAUCAUAUUGGUAAAUACUUUCUAGUUUUGUGUGUGCCGAUUCAUGUUCGUGUUUGUAUUUUUAUUUUAGUUGAGCGUGUUUGUGCAGUGAGAUACCGAAAAUUUUGAUAUUGGUGUAGCUAAAAUGCCUAUCCAGAACGCCGUGUUCCCGUAAUUUAUUUUGCUUAACCUAUUGGACAUUGAAAGUGCAGCCUUGGUGAAUGGUUAUUUCAAAAAAUCUAAUACUUAAAUAUUAUAGUAGUGUAUUAAAUUAUAGCUUUAACGUGUAUAGUUUCACGCAGUUAUUUUCAUUUUUAAGCAAUCUAUUUGUAAUUGUUUACUAUGCAUUUAAUAAGCAUCAAUUAAAUAGUAGUAUGGAUAGUUGACGCUCAAGCAACUAUAGUAAAAUUAUGAAUACAUUGUGUGUGGGAAAAUGAAUGCAAUAUUUAAAUCAAGUUUUCUUAAGUACUGAUAUUAUUUUAUAAAAUAUAAUCUUUUAUAACACAAUAUAAUAUUUUAUUUAAUAGGUAACGGGACAACGGUCUUACAUAUAUGAUUAGACGGGCUGGUAAGUUUAAUAAAGUGACUAGUGAAAACAAAACACGGAGGGGCUAGACAUUGCAUAUGUUCGUGUUUUGGAAUUUCUAAAUAUUAUCCACAUCAUUUCUAGCAUGUUCAAGAACAAUGAAUAUGAUUUGAGCUAUUGCAUUAUGGAUUAAUAAUGAUACUUGAAAAAAAAAAUAUUUCUUUUUCGUUAAAGUCAUAUUUAAAAAAUGGUAUACUAUAGUGCAUUCAUGUCAGACAUUGCCAUUGGCCAUUUCCAUUUUUUGGGUUACGGAUAAUAUUAAACGCGUCUUGAAUUCAACUCUGGCAGUGGGAUAAUGGGAAAUUAUCGGUCCGAAAAGGGAUUCUUAAUACAUUAUAUUAAAUCAAAGUUUUAUUUUAAAAAAAUUAUUAUUUUUUCUUAAGAUUCCCUCGAUAAAUCGUUUCCCUUAUAAUAAAUGUCCCAUUCUCCUCUAUGUGGACUAUGCCUACAUUUUAUACUUGGGGAAACCACAUUCAUAAAACGCAGCACGUGCCAUACCUCAUGCAACAUUAAGCAACAUUAAGAAGUUUGAUACUUUGAUAUAAUAUUGGUUUUCAUUUAAUGUGCUAAGGUGGUGAGGAAAACUUGAAAUACCUAAAUUAUUGUAAUUUGUACAAUAAUAUUAACGUUACAUAAUGUACAAAAUGUAUACUAAAUAAAUGUAUACUGUACACUGAUUUUUAUUAGUAUAUUCGUUAAUAUUGACAGAUUACAAACUAUGAUUUAUGUCAUUUAAAUGUAACAUAUAUUAUUUUUCCCCCUAAAUCACCUUUUCACAUGGUAUACUUUAAUAGCACCCCAAGUACCUACAUACUCAAUAGAUCAUGUACUUAAAUAUAGUGUUAUCAGAUGAUAAAAGAUGCAAACCGUCGAAAAUAUACUUCAAAAACAUUCAAAUGAGUAUUAAAUAUAACUUUUUUUAAUUUAAAAAAAAUGUACCAUCUUAAAUCAAACAUACAAGAAAGUUAUGAUUUCAUUUUAACAAAA